UGCAUUUUUCUGAAAGUAUCGCAAAUGUUAAAAAAUGUAAUGUGCAAGUUAUUUAUUUACACUUACUUCCAUGCAUUUAUUGGCUGUUUCCUCGAUCGUGUUUAUUUAAAGCCUUCCCUACAAGACGGAGGUAACAGAUUGCACAAACACAUUCAGAAAUUUCCAGCUGUUCACCAACACUGUUACAUUGUGUGCAAUUUUCGAUUGAAUGGAACAAAGCGCUUUCAAACUUAUCGAAAUAUUAAUAUGUUUAAAGAGAAAAGGUGAUACACAAUUUUUCAAGAAAAAUUAUUAAUAACUAAAGCUGAACAAUUCGCAAUAGUUUGGUUAAUUUUGGCAUUUCAACAAAUUAAAAAUACGAGAAAAAACUAUUGAAGUAAGUUUACAAAAACGACUGGACAUUGUUGGACAUGAUAUCUGUUUAAGUUGAAACUGCUUGGUGGUUAUACAUGUUAUCAAACCGCUGCCUUUAAAAGUGAAUUAUGAGGGAGAAACUUUGCUAUAUCUCUUAUGACAUCCAGAUGAAACAGUGAAUAGCGUUAGAAACAACUGAGCUUAUCACAAAUAGCUUCCAAUUAGCGAAUUUUACUAAUACAAUAUUUUGUUCUUUACUACAGUUAUCUGAGGAUUGUGUGGUUAAUGUUUUGAGGCGCUAUUCCAACAGCAUUUAAUAAACGUUGAAGGACACGGCAUCGCUGGGUCAGUGUUUAACAUCAAACAAACAGAAACUUACAAAGAGUUGACAAUAGUAGCAAGCACCAAAAGUUAUAGAAAGAAACUUCAUGUAAUUGUUGCCUUAAAGUUAUAUCUAUACUUCGUUUUGUUUUCUGUUAAUAUAACUUGCAAUAAUAUGUACAUUUACGUUAAAAAUUACAAGAUAGUUAUCUAUUAACAACUUUGAAAGUCUAUAUUAACAAAAUGUAUUUAUGAAAUUGAUGAUUCCUCUCACGCUAUAUAUACAUACGUAUGGUAUUAAUUAAUUUAAAAACUUAAUUUACGUAAAAUGAUUUUACAAUUAAAUAACGCAUCAUAAGAAUUGAAUUUGUUAGAAGUAACAAAUCGAAGUAACAGAUAUGCUAGUUACUCCUUGUAACUGCUAACAUGUUUAUAUGUUAAAGGCAACAAACUGUUAACCAAAAUAAUAACACUAACAGAAAUUUUAAAAACAAAUACUUUUUAUUAUGCAUAACACAUAGGUAGUUUAUGCGCUAACAAAAGUAUUUGUUACAACAAACUGUAAAGAGAUUUGUUAUCAGAUGUAUGUCAUAUCUCAGAACUGGGCAGCAUGCGAUAUUAGCCAUUGAAAAGGAGAAAACCAUUGAACAUCAAAUGGCGAAGUGAUACUUUUUUCCCACUCUCUGAAGAAAAGUAACAAAUUAACGUAUGCAAAAGUUAUCAAUAACAAGUCGCUUACACGUUUGCUAACAGAUACCCGUCUUGCAGGGUUCAUACGACAAUCUUCGGAACAAUAUCGAAUUUUACAAUUCAGACAUUGGGUAAAUUGUUGCAACUAUAGUGUUUUGGCGCUACUAAUGUAUUGUUACACGCCAAGCAACGCACAUUUUUUACAACUGUUUCUAAAGGUCUCAUACAGUGGUCACAAAUAAAAGUAAUAUCGAGAACUUAUAUAAUUUACUUACUUUUAUUCAGGGUCAUUCCCCUUUUUGUUUGAUGA